rnacentral:tRNA from 1 species
CAUUAAGUGGCUGAAAGUAAGCAAUGGUCUCUUAAACCAAAAAAUAGUAAUUUAACACAUACUCUUAAUGA